rnacentral:rRNA from 1 species
GAUGAACGCUGGCGGCGUGCCUAACACAUGCAAGUCGAACGAAACUGAUUUCAUGAAACUUCGGUAGAUUGGAUGAAAGUUGAGUGGCGGACGGGUGAGUAACACGUGGGCAACCUGCCUCACAGAGGGGGAUAGCAGUUGGAAACGACUGCUAAUACCGCAUGAUACAUUUGGGCGGCAUCGCUUGGAUGUCAAAGAUUUUAUCGCUGAAAGAUGGCCUCGCGUCUGAUUAGAUAGUUGGCGGGGUAACGGCCCACCAAGUCGACGAUCAGUAGCCGGACUGAGAGGUUGACCGGCCACAUUGGGACUGAGAUACGGCCCAGACUCCUACGGGAGGCAGCAGUGGGGAAUAUUGGGCAAUGGACGCAAGUCUGACCCAGCAACGCCGCGUGAAGGAAGAAGGCUUUCGGGUUGUAAACUUCUUUUAAGGGGGAAGAGCAGAAGACGGUACCCCUUGAAUAAGCCACGGCUAACUACGUG